rnacentral:misc_RNA from 1 species
AAAAAAUUUACUUUUCAUCGAAAAAUAUUAAAAUUAUAUUUAUAAAUAUUACAUUAUAAUUUUAGAAUUUUUUACUAUAAAAAUCUACCAUUACAUAUUAAAGGAAUUUUUUUAUGAAAUAAAGUUCAUCUUUAGAAAUUUUUUGUAGCAAAAUAGAAGUUAAGAGACAUAAAUAGAAUAUAAAGUAAAAUUUAGGGACUAGUAUAGAUAUUAUCCAAAAUUUUGGUGAAAUUAAGGGUAUUUUCGUCUUCUUGAAGCCUUUAGAGAAAUGGUCACAUGGACAGGCACGUUGUACUCUCCGGUACGAGAUAUUUUUAUAAAUAAUAAAUAAUAUUUAAUUAUAUUUAUGGCAUGCCCAUAGUUACAGAUGGCCGUCUCUUUCUACCAGUUGGAUAUAUUUUUGGAGUCAUAUGCAAAUUUAAAUCUUAAUUGAAAUAAUUAUGUUAAAAAAUUAUAAAAUAAUUUUAUAUUAACACAUUAAAUAAUAAU